rnacentral:piRNA from 1 species
UAGUGUGGGGUACACAUGAGUUGUGU